UACGGAGGGUGCAAGCGUUAUCCGGAAUCACUGGGUUUAAAGGGUACGUAGGCGGCCAUAUAAGUCAGAAGUGAAAUGCCCCGGCCCAACCGGGGAACUGCUUUUGAUACUGUUUGGCUUGAAUUGGGUUGAGGCAGGCGGAAUGCGUCAUGUAGCGGUGAAAUGCUUAGAUAUGACGUGGAACACCGAUUGCGAAGGCAGCCUGCCAAGCCUUGAUUGACGCUGAGGUACGAAAGCGUGGGUAGCGAACAGG
rnacentral:rRNA from 1 species